rnacentral:rRNA from 1 species
UAGCUUGCUACCUGACCUAGCGGCGGACGGGUGAGUAAUGCUUAGGAAUCUGCCUAUUAGUGGGGGACAACAUUCCGAAAGGAAUGCUAAUACCGCAUACGCCCUACGGGGGAAAGCAGGGGAUCUUCGGACCUUGCGCUAAUAGAUGAGCCUAAGUCAGAUUAGCUAGUUGGUGGGGUAAAGGCCUACCAAGGCGACGAUCUGUAGCAGGUCUGAGAGGAUGAUCCGCCACACUGGGACUGAGACACGGCCCAGACUCCUACGGGAGGCAGCAGUGGGGAAUAUUGGACAAUGGGCGAAAGCCUGAUCCAGCCAUGCCGCGUGUGUGAAGAAGGCCUUUUGGUUGUAAAGCACUUUAAGCGAGGAGGAGGCUACUUGGAUUAAUACUCUAGGAUAGUGGACGUUACUCGCAGAAUAAGCACCGGCUAACUCUGUGCCAGCAGCCGCGGUAAUACAGAGGGUGCGAGCGUUAAUCGGAUUUACUGGGCGUAAAGCGUGCGUAGGCGGCUUUUUAAGUCGGAUGUGAAAUCCCUGAGCUUAACUUAGGAAUUGCAUUCGAUACUGGGAAGCUAGAGUAUGGGAGAGGAUGGUAGAAUUCCAGGUGUAGCGGUGAAAUGCGUAGAGAUCUGGAGGAAUACCGAUGGCGAAGGCAGCCAUCUGGCCUAAUACUGACGCUGAGGUACGAAAGCAUGGGGAGCAAACAGGAUUAGAUACCCUGGUAGUCCAUGCCGUAAACGAUGUCUACUAGCCGUUGGGGCCUUUGAGGCUUUAGUGGCGCAGCUAACGCGAUAAGUAGACCGCCUGGGGAGUACGGUCGCAAGACUAAAACUCAAAUGAAUUGACGGGGGCCCGCACAAGCGGUGGAGCAUGUGGUUUAAUUCGAUGCAACGCGAAGAACCUUACCUGGUCUUGACAUAGUAAGAACUUUCCAGAGAUGGAUUGGUGCCUUCGGGAACUUACAUACAGGUGCUGCAUGGCUGUCGUCAGCUCGUGUCGUGAGAUGUUGGGUUAAGUCCCGCAACGAGCGCAACCCUUUUCCUUAUUUGCCAGCGGGUUAAGCCGGGAACUUUAAGGAUACUGCCAGUGACAAACUGGAGGAAGGCGGGGACGACGUCAAGUCAUCAUGGCCCUUACGACCAGGGCUACACACGUGCUACAAUGGUCGGUACAAAGGGUUGCUACCUAGCGAUAGGAUGCUAAUCUCAAAAAGCCGAUCGUAGUCCGGAUUGGAGUCUGCAACUCGACUCCAUG